GAUCCGUGGCUCAGGACGAACGCUGGCGGCGUGCUUUACACAUGCAAGUCGAGCGAUGAGAUCCCUUCGGUAGUGAAUUAGCGGCGAACGGGUGAGGAACACGUGAGGAAUCUGCCUUCUACACUGGGAUAACUCCGGGAAACCGGGGCUAAUACCGGAUAUGAAACUUGGUGGCAUCACCGAGUUUGGAAAGUUUUUCGGUAGAAGAUGACCUCGCGGCCUAUCAGCUUGUUGGUGAGGUAAUGGCUCACCAAGGCGACGACGGGUAGCCGGCCUGAGAGGGCGACCGGCCACACUGGGACUGAGACACGGCCCAGACUCCUACGGGAGGCAGCAGUGGGGAAUAUUGGGCAAUGGAGGAAACUCUGACCCAGCGACGCCGCGUGCGGGAUGAAGGCCUUCGGGUUGUAAACCGCUUUCAGUAGGGAAGAAGCGAAAGUGACGGUACCUACAGAAGAAGCACCGGCUAACUAUGUG
rnacentral:rRNA from 1 species